AACCAGGGGGUUAAGUUGUAUUUCACGGUGAAAAGACAGUUAAGCGGAAUAGCAGGUUUAGUUCACUGUACUGUCAGGAGGUAGAAUUCGAAGACAGACAAAUAUACUUAAUAAAACCGAUGUGUUGAAGCUGUGAUAACUUUGAGGGAAACUAGGAUUAGAUACCCUAUUAUUCAUAGAAGUAAACAAGAAAAUUUUACCAGAGCACUAAGAAUAAAAAAUUUAAAACUCAAAGGGCUUGGCGGUGUUUUAGACUACUUAGGGGAACCUGUCUCAUAAUCGACAAUCCACGUUAAACCUGACCUUUUUUUGCAUUCAGUUUGUAUACCGUCGUCGCCAGGUAACUUUUAAGAUAUAAACAGUUAGCUAGCUAAAUAUUUGAAUUAAGACGUCAGAUCAAGGUGCAGCUAAUAACAAGGUGUAGAUGGGUUACAAUUACUAUAUUCGUAAUAACGGACAAUGGUCUUAAAGAAAAUUGAGAAGGAGGACUUAAAAGUAAAAUAAACUAUACAGGUAUCUUGAAUAAAGCUCUGAAACGUGC
rnacentral:rRNA from 1 species